CAGCAGCCGCGGUAAUACGGAGGGUGCGAGCGUUAAUCGGAAUUACUGGGCGUAAAGCGCAUGCAGGUGGUUUGUUAAGUCAGAUGUGAAAGCCCGGGGCUCAACCUCGGAACUGCAUUUGAAACUGGCAAACUAGAGUACUGUAGAGGGGGGUAGAAUUUCAGGUGUAGCGGUGAAAUGCGUAGAGAUCUGAAGGAAUACCAGUGGCGAAGGCGGCCCCCUGGACAGAUACUGACACUCAGAUGCGAAAGCGUGGGGAGCAAACAGGAUUAGAUACCCUGGUAGUCCACGCCGUAAACGAUGUCUACUUGGAGGUUGUGGCCUUGAGCCGUGGCUUUCGGAGCUAACGCGUUAAGUAGACCGCCUGGGGAGUACGGUCGCAAGAUUAAAACUCAAAUGAAUGGACGGGGGCCCGCACAAGCGGUGGAGCAUGUGGUUUAAUUCGAUGCAACGCGAAGAACCUUACCUACUCUUGACAUCCAGAGAACUUAGCAGAGAUGCUUUGGUGCCUUCGGGAACUCUGAGACAGGUGCUGCAUGGCUGUCGUCAGCUCGUGUUGUGAAAUGUUGGGUUAAGUCCCGCAACGAGCGCAACCCUUAUCCUUGUUUGCCAGCGAGUAAUGUCGGGAACUCCAGGGAGACUGCCGGUGAUAAACCGGAGGAAGGUGGGGACGACGUCAAGUCAUCAUGGCCCUUACGAGUAGGGCUACACACGUGCUACAAUGGCGCAUACAGAGGGCAGCCAACUCGCGAGAGUGAGCGAAUCCCAAAAAGUGCGUCGUAGUCCGGAUUGGAGUCUGCAACUCGACUCCAUGAAGUCGGAAUCGCUAGUAAUCGUAGAUCAGAAUGCUACGGUGAAUACGUUCCCGGGCCUUGCACACACCGCC
rnacentral:rRNA from 1 species